ACAUGCAAGUCGAACGUGAAAGUCCUUCGGGAUGAGUAAAGUGGCGCACGGGUGAGUAACACGUGGGUAACCUGCCUUUUAGUGGGGAAUAACUUCGGGAAACCGGAGCUAAUGCCGCAUACGUAAGUAAUUAGAAAGGGGGCGUCCGCAAGGAGCUCUCGCUGAAAGAAGGGCCCGCGUCCUAUUAGCUUGUUGGUGAGGUAAUAGCUUACCAAGGCAACGAUAGGUAUCCGGUCUGAGAGGAUGAUCGGACACACUGGAACUGAGACACGGUCCAGACUCCUACGGGAGGCAGCAGUAGGGAAUAUUGCGCAAUGGGGGAAACCCUGACGCAGCAACGCCGCGUGAGUGAGGAAGGUCUUCGGAUUGUAAAACUCUUUUAUUAGGGAAAAAUGUCCUUUCGGUUAAUACCCGAGAGGAGUGAUGGUACCUAAGGAAUAAGCACCGGCUAACUUCGUGCCAGCAGCCGCGGUAAUACGAAGGGUGCAAGCGUUGUUCGGAAUCAUUGGGCGUAAAGCGCGCGCAGGCGGAUCAGCAAGUCAGAUGUGAAAUCUCGAAGCUCAACUUCGAAACUGCGUCUGAAACUGCUAGUCUAGAAUGUCGGAGGGGGCAGGGGAAUUUCACGUGUAGGGGUAAAAUCCGUAGAGAUGUGAAGGAACACCGGAGGCGAAGGCGCCUGCCUGGACGACUAUUGACGCUGAGGCGCGAAAGCGUGGGGAGCAAACAGGAUUAGAUACCCUGGUAGUCCACGCCGUAAACGAUGAGCACUAGUUAUUGGGG
rnacentral:rRNA from 1 species